rnacentral:rRNA from 1 species
GCGACGGGCGAUAUGUACAUAUCAGUAUAAAUUUAUCAAAAAAACUAAUUAUUUUCUUUUUACUCCCUAAUCCAACCUUAUAAUCAUUAAUAUUUCAAUUAACUUUACAGUUUCAUACUUCUAUAUAAAAGUAACUCAUUUAACCCUACAAAAAUCUACAUUUUGACUUGAACUCAUUUAUAUUUAACAUUAACUUUUAUCUAUUAAUUUAUAAUAAAUAAUAAAUUAAACAGCAAUACAUAAAAAAAUUAAACAAUAGGUAAAAUUUAAUGUGUAAUAUCAUUUUAAAUAAACAAGUUCCUCAGAAUUUAACUAAAUACCGCCAAUAUCUUUAAAAUUAAUUUGAAAAACAAAUAAAAUUUUGAUAUUUAUUCUCACUAAAAAUAAUAGGGUAUCUAA